GAAGGACAGAAGGAAGACAAAAGCAAGUUUCCACAGGGAGCAUUAGAGCAUUUUUCAUUAUUAAGUCAAUAGAGUCAGACGAUGAAAAUUCCUGCAUUGCUUUAUGACGACUAGGCUUUGUGCCCAAUGAGAAAUGAAUCUCCUUCCAUAGACCCUAAGACUAGUGACUCCACAGUCUCUUGAACAAGUUGAUAUCAGCCCUGUUUAUGUUGAAGCAAACAGCGGCCUUUGAAGCUUGUGGAAAAAGCUUGCAUCCUGGCCUACGCUGAGAAAAGCCACUGACCCCGAGAAGAAUGCGCUACUCCUAAAACGUGCCUUCUUCCCACUGCAGGCAAUAAUGAUCUCAUGAUAGCCAGCCUCCUGAUUCCUGGACCAGAGCAUCAGGUUCAGUGUUUGUCACAGAAUGUGUUAUGUAACUGUGGGUCCUCAUUCACCCUAUCAACUGGCGGUGUGUUUCUCCAAGUCUAUCACAAAAAGCCUUGAGGAUUAAUGAGAACCUGUUCUCCAGCUUCAUGCUCCUCAGAAAAGAUGACCUUGAAAUAGAAGACUCGUUGCCU
rnacentral:lncRNA from 1 species